UUUUUUAAGUUUUAUUUAUUUACAUCACCUCUACACCCUACAUGGGCCCGAACUCACAGCCCUGAGAUCGAGAGCGGCACUCUCUCUGAGC